AUUUCCAGCAGCAAUGAAGAUAGUUUUCGCAUUCCUAUUUUCAUUUGUCAUUCAACAUUCUUCUGGGGAAAUAUUGAGGCCUUUAUUCCCUUUUCUCGCUACUGACGAAAUGAAAUUUGUCCCCUGGAUGAUAAAGUUCGUACAAUACGAUGAAGACACAGAAUGGGAUAAAAUGUGUUGCUUGAGACGGAACUUUGAACUAGUUAAAAAAAUUAUAAAUGCUUUUGACCGCGCGUUUCGCAAAAUUUCAGAUAAUUCUAAGCGGACAAGAAAUGAAUUCAGGGAAACAAAAAAACGUUUAAGAAAAAUUUGGACGGGUGUUCAAGACGAUUUAAAGGCAUAUGAUGAACAGAGAAAGUCUAAAAAAGGAGGAGUGUCAACCCUCUUAAAAUUAACUAAUGCGAGAGUUUCCCUAAUCUUUAAGGAAAUUAAGGAAAUGCUGAGUUACGAUUCUGUGAAACCUGAUUAUAAAGAACAUAGCAAACUAUACAUAAAACUUUUUGUAAAUUUGAACUCUUUAAUGGGUAAAUCUUUAAAGUGUAUGCACAAAUUUUGGGAUAAAUAUGAUACACAUAUAAAUCUGAAAUAUUUCUAAACAUUAUAAAUAGAACUAUACUAAUAAUAAUAAAUGUUUACUUAAUUUUUGGCCACA